UGGUGGGACAGCACCGUGUAAGGCAGACAUGUCGGGGGUCCGGGUGGUGUCGCGGCUCCUGGGCGCCCGGCGCCUGGCACUGACUAGGGCGGUGAGUCGGCGCCGUGGGGCGGGCAGGGCGCGGGGAGCCGAGGAGGGGCAGGACUUCCCACGGGGCGGAGCGGACGCCGAGUCCCCCCGGCGCCGGACCGGGACGGGGUCGCGAGGGUCUGGGGGAGGAUGCGGUGAGGAGGCCGCCCGAAGGGGUGGGGCCGACCCGGAGGGCCGCGGGACUCCUUCUGAAGCCAGCGAGUCGCGUCCCGGUGAAGGUCAUGACCCCGCUUGCCGUCCCCGGGGACCCUUCCCCAGAGUACUAAGGUCGCCCCCGCCCCAGCCUUCGGCGCGUGGGGAGGCGUGUUUGCCCGAGGUCACCCUGACAGGUGGCGGCCCGUGGGUGCCCCGGGCCUCUGAAUCCAAAAGCGCCCUUAGAUCUCCGGCGGAGGCGGGCCGGCAACCGCAGGCGCGCGCCGGCCGGGCGCUGUGCCGAUCGCCCUGGGGACGGUCCGUCGGGUGCCAGCAGCCCCGAGGACCCGGCCGGGCUCGGCCCUCCCGCCCCAGGCAGGGUAGGUGGGAGGCACGUCUGACACCGGCGCUGGCGCUUGCCUGGCAACUGUUUGCAAAACCGCGCUUCUUCGGGGAAAGCGAAGACCCGUGUUUCACACCGGGAUCUGGCAACUUUUGGACCUUCAUUUUGGGUUUUGUAUGGUGGCCUUUUGCGCACAUUAGAAAACCAGGCGAAGAACGUCAGCGCUCUGACCGCAGACCACGUUCGGGCGACGGCGCCGGGAAGUCUGAUUUCCCGUGCGUUGUCUGCCCGGACUCCGGUCAGUCGUGGAUGACCGUCAGGGUUGUGCCUUCUGGAGCCCUUGCUUACCGGAUUGUGUCAGAUGUACUCCUUACAGUUACGUCUUCAGGAUCUACCUUUUCAGGUUUUAUUUCAGCACACUAAACUUGGAGGGGUUGUUGUUUGGGUUCUUUUAUAUGAUCCGCCUGCCCACCUACUUAGUAAUGUAAUUACAGAGUGAAAAUCCCAGUGGGAACCGAGGCAUUCAACAGUAUUGACAGGAGUUAUGCCUGUAGUUAUACCUGCAAUUUUCUCCAUUUUGAAAUACAGAUACUAAAAAUUAAGUUAAAUGUGAGAAGGUUAACUCCGCCAUCCUGCCAAUGCCAGAGAACGUUUUCAAUGCUUUCUCGUGCUGCUGUGGUUGAUGCUUCCUGAGCAGAGGUCCCCACUCUCCACACCCCACCCAUCUUGGGCUCUAAGUCCACAAGCUGGAUGGGCAGUGGGAUAUUCUUCGGCAAACGUGAGCAGACUUCUUAGUGCCUCCUGCUUGUUAAGUGCAGUGACCAGUAACUGGUGGUGCUGGGAGAAGAGCUAAACAUGUGUGUCCUCGGUCACCCCAGCGUUCUUGUGCAGACUAAGACCCCUCCAGUCUGUGGAACUCCCUUGACCACCUGCCUGCCCUUUGUUUAUGACCUUGUUGUCCUUUAUGUAAACUGGACUAGAAUUCUAGCUCUGAGCUCUGAGCUGCAAGUGAGAAUAAGAUUCUGAGCACCACUGGUCAGAGUGUGUAAACCUGUACUUUUGUAUUGGCUUGAUUGGAAGUUAUCUUGGUUGAAUCAACUAUUAGCUGCCAGCAUUUACCCUUCUUUUUACCUUGAUGAAGAUAGCUUUUCCUGUGGAAAUUAAUUCUGCCCCCAAGCAGUAUAUGUAGUGGAAUUUAAGAUUGGCAAAAACAAAAGCAUCAACUUAGAACAACAACAACGAAAUGUAUGAUCACCAACUGAGAAAUGUGCACGGAGAGUAGAUGAUGAGGGUAGUUUGAAUAAAAUCCACAGAGAAUUUUUCUUGAUUUCAUUUUGUUCAAUUCUCUGGUGUUUCCAAGGCAGUUUAUAUUUACAGCUGCUUUCAAGUUGCAAAAUCAUCAAACCUAUUUUGCGUUGGUUUCAUUUUUAGUUAUCUUAAUGCACUGACAUAAUUUGCAGACUGUUCUGGUGUAUUGAAAGGAAAAGUAAAAGCAAGGUCCUUAAAUAGUUGCUGGUUAAUUGCUUCAGAUGAGAUUUUUCAAAUUCUUUAACAUGGAUAUCCAAAGUACUGUUCUAGAGUAAGUCAGUUUUUCUUUGAAUGUAUUGUUUUGAAUUUGGCUUAAUGAUGUAUCUAGAAUUACAUUAUUUAGGCCAUUGUGGUAACCUUUUUUGUUUUCCUUUUUGGGGUAAUUGUACCGCUGUGGCAUUCAUUUCUGCAUUCUGUGGGAUGUUUUUCCUGGUUCACUGGAAAAAUUGUGGCUUGGUUUUGAUACGUAAUCUGGAUAUGCAUCUUAUUUUGGAGUCCCAGAGAUUUUUCCUAAGGCUCCUUACCUAGGGGGGAUGUACUGAAUCUGGUACCAGCCAGGCAGACCAGAGUUCAGACCCUGGAUAGACUCCAUUUCUCUUUCAUGAGGGUUCUGGGAGGUAGCCUGUGACGCCCUGGUGUGGUGAUCAUUCUAGCCAGGACCUACACCUACAGCCUGUGCUCGAUAAUCUUGUGAAUUGUAUUCUAAGCAUCCCUGUUUUAAAAACCUUUAAACUUCUAAUGAAAAUAAUUACACAUAGUUAUAAAAAAAAAAGUCAAGGAAUACAGAGGCUUUAUAAAUGAAAAGGAUUGAGACCCUCUCCUAACCUCAGACCUGUUCCCCAGUGAAAUCACUUCUGAAUUGUUUCUGUUAUUGGCCGCUGGUGUUUACCUCCAUGUCUCUAGCUAAUGUGCAGGCUUACGUUCAUCCAUUUUGGACUUUGACUUGUGGCUCUGAAUGAGGACUCAGUUCGCUUAAACCAUCUUCCCCCAUCCUCAGUUCUUCCCAUGGCCUUCCAAGGCACUUUCAGAGCCUUUAUGGGCUGCUUUUCUUAUUAUACAGAUUGUACUUACAAAUAGUUUCUUGUCUGCAAUUCAUAGGUGAACGCUAUCAGAUGGGGACCUGUACUUCGCUAGAUUAAGGGUUUCAAUAUCUCUGCCCUUCUCUUCAGUUUUCUCCCUUUUACCAUUUAAGUCAUUCACUUGUGCUUUCAUGUCAUUAAAAGCUCUGUUUCUUUUAAUUCUGCCUCCAAGGCAGAUUUCCUCACGCUUCUUUACGUUUCCCUGUUGGAAAAUGUUUGAUAGUUUUACUUCAAAAAAUGUUAAAUAGUUUUAUUUAUAGACAAAUUGGGUUAAUUUUGGGCUCUCCAGAUUCUAAAAUUGCUCCUCAAAUCCGAUUUGGAUAAAAAGCUAGUAUUCUAUUUUCCACAGGGAGAUAGUAUGAUAAUUUGUUAGAGAUUUCAUUUUAACAGCUGCCAGUGUUUGAGAUGGCCGUGUGUGUCUAUCUUUAUUUAACGUGAACAUCCUAGAAAGAAGAAAUAAAUACUUAGGGAAUCUCACUGUUACUAUUUUACUUUUUUACAGUUCAACUUAAGCAGGUAAGUUUAAUGAUCAGAACAAAAAUGGGAUCGCUUAGGAAAAACUAUAUAAAAGACGCUUUACAGUAUAAUAUGUCCUUUUCAUGUUGAUUAUUUUUAUAGGAUUUAAUAUGUGAUUAUUCUUCAGUUUUCUGAAUUAAAAUUGUUCAGGUGGCCAUAAAAUCUGGAAACAUAGACAAAUAUACAUAAUAAAUAGUUUACUCAUAUUCCAACAAAUGUUCAAUGAAUGUGCUGUUCCUCAUUAGCAUUUCAUACUUUAACAAGUUAUGCAAAACUGCAUGUGCACCAAAGCACUAUUUCCAUCAAUCCUCGUACAUCCACCUACAACGAAUCGCUUGUGGGGAUUUGUGUGUCUCACUUUCCCUGAAUAAACGUGUGCCUUUAGCACACCCAAGGUGUAAUUAAGGAAGAAGUGUCUGUCAUCUGUGUUUCUGGAUUGUGUGGUCCUGUUUUUGGUUUUGUUUUUUUUUUUAAGUUUCACCUACUAUAAGUCUUAAAAACAUUUUUGACCAUUCGUAUUAUACCAAGAAAAAAGAUGAAUACUAAAUACAAGCUAAUGGAAAAACAAAAAUUCAUUUGUUUUACCUUUCUAUUCCACAUCACAACAUUUUACUGAAAAUGAAGGGAUUUUUCAUCUAUAGAUAAAAGACUCUAAAUGGUACUUAGGUUGUUUUACAAGUUUGAUUUUAAAAUCGUUUAGAAUUCACAAUGGGUCUUACACACAAUGAUUUCAAUAAAUCAGGCACUCCAGAGCACAAUUGGAGGUGUAACAAUUAUGUGAUGACUUCUUAACAGUCCAAGGAGAUAAAGACCUUUUUUUCAAAUAUGGAAAGAAAUUAAUCUUUCUGCAGUAUUAACCCCUAAAAGCUAUCUUCCUUUAUAGACUACAAUAUUAUUGUCAAUUUAAUAUACUUUUAUUUUUUUUAAUCUUAUUUUUAAUGUUUGUUUUACUUUUGAGAGACACAUCCAGUGCGAACGGGGGAGGGACAGAGAGAGAGGGAGGCGCAGAAUCCUAAGCAGGCUCCAGGCUCUGAGCUGUCAGCACAGAGCCUGAUGCAGGGCUUGAACCCAUGAACCGUGAUAUCAUGACCUGAGCCGAAGUCAGAUGCUUAUCUGACUGAGCCACCCAGGCACCCCCAUAUACUUUUAAAAAGAACUCCCAGAGGAAGAAAUUUCUGGAGGUUUUCCCAAAUAUAUACAGCUACUUUUUCUGUCAUGCUUACAACAUCUGCAAAGUACGGAAUGUUCAAAUGCAGAUUCUUAUGAUCAAGGGGCUCCAUAAUUGCCUCCUCCAUAUACUCUUUGAGGUCAGUCACUUUCAUAACUAUUCCUGUAAUAGGAUCAAUCUCUCCAUGUACUGUCACCACAACUUUAUAAUUGUGCACGUGGCCAUUUGGAUUGUUGGCAUUCCCAAACAAUUUCAAGUUUUCUUCAUUACUCAGAGAUGUGCUGUGGAGCCAGUAGGUCGCUCUGAGGGAGAUGAGGUGGGACAGUUGCGUGGUGUUCUUGGCUUGCCUUCCCACUUGGUUGGUGGUGGGGCUGGGACAGGCUCUCUGUUUCUAUUUUGAUUUCAAUUUGGUAUUGUAAAAUGUAUUGUUCUUUUUUGGAACUAUUACCUUUAUCUUGUACUUCAUUAAAAUUUCAUGAACAUUUGUAUUUUGCUGACUUGGUUAUUUGUUAAGAUGUGAUUUUUACCAUUUAAAAAUUAUACUAAAGCAGAAGAAUAUUCUUUUUAAGUUUUUUAAUUCGUUUACUGGACAAAAAGUUGACUUAUGUCAAUAAAAACAAAAGUACUUAUGGGCGCUUGGGUGGCUUAGUCGCUUAAGCAUCUGACUUUAGCCCACAUCAUGGUCUUGUGGUCCAUGAGUUCGAGCCCUGUGUUGGGUUCUGUGCUGACAGCUAAGAGCCUGGAGUCUGCUUCAGAUUCUGUGUCUCCCUCUCUCUCUGCCCCUCCCUGGCUUGUGCUCUCUCUUUCUCAAAAAUAAAUAAACAUUAAAAAAUACAUAUAUACUUAAAGUUGAAAUUGGAGAAUUCAAGAAUAUUGCAUUUAUCAGUUCAGGUCUACUUAGAAAUUCAAGAAACUUCUUUGUAAUUGGAACUGUUAGCAUAAAGUCAACUAUUUGUGGCAGGCAUCAUUUGGUCUCAGUGCUUAAGAAAGUCUAAAAAAAUAUUUUUAAGUUAUUCUUGAGAGAGAGAGCGAGAGGUGGGGAGGGGCAGAGAGAGAGAGAGGGAGAGAGUGAGCAUCCCAAGCAGGCUCUGCACUGUCAGCACAGAGCCCAGAUGCAGGCCUAGAACUCAUGAACUGUGAGAUCGUGACCUGAGCCAAAACCAAGAGUCAGUUGCUUAACUGACUGAGCCACUCAGGUGCCCCUAAAUGCUAAAGAAAGUCUAGAGGUUGGAGCCACCUGCUCCAUUUGCAAGCGGCCAAGCCCUCCAGCCUGGCCUGAGGCCAUUAAUCUUCAAAGAAAGUCCUUCUGUUCAAAACCACUCAGAGUUCAUUUUGUAUUUUGCCAAAUUCUCCUCCCUGAAUUCUCCACUUGUUUGUCCUACAGAAUAAUUUUUUUACCCCACAGAAUAAAUAGCAUCUCUUCCAAACUGCAGAAUACUCGAAGACAUCUCUCAUAUCCCCUUUGUCAUUGUUAAACAUACUUAAUUCCUAAAACUGUUCAUGAAAUUGCUAAGACUUCAUUUUAUCAGUAGCCGUCUAAAAUGCAGUCAUAGAACAGAAAGACAUGCCUUAUAAGUUGGUUUUCAUAUAAAGAAGAUGGCCCCUCAGGCUGGGCUGUGAUUUCAUUAAUACCAAUUUUCUUGAGUAAAUGUGUUCAUAGGGUGGAACAUUUAAGCCAAAACUUGGAGAGUUGGAGAGAUUAGCCAGGGAAUGGCCAGGGACAAGUGUUCAGACAGGGAACAGCACCCUGGAGUAUGACAGAGGAGAGGGGAUGUGGCUACAGCCCAGCGCAGGUGUGGAGAGUGGUGAAGCAGGAGCAUCUCUAGGCCUGGAGUCUUCACAUUCACAGUGAAGGGUUGGUCCCGCUGGUACCCAGUGUCAGGGUGAGCAGUAGAGCCUCUUGUAGAAGAUGGAUCUCCCAAUACACUGUCCCAGGCCUUUUCCAGUGAACCACAAAACCUUGCAGACGUGUGGUGCUAUAGUGUGAAGAGGGUCAUGAUGGAUCCAGUAAAAGUGCUUCAUUGUAAACUACCACUUUCACAAAAUAGAUGGGUUUCCCAUUGUCCACUAAAAACCAUAAAUUAAGAAAUGAACGUGACAUUGUGUCCUUUUCAUUUCCUGCUGAGUCUGUGAGUGUCCUGCUUGGAGACAAGCUUCAUCUAGAAGAGCUUUUCUCGGAGUGCCAACUCCUUGCCACUUGGGCCUGCCCUGGGUCCUUAGUCCGCCUCUACCCUUCAGGGUUAAGUAGAGGACCCCAGGUGAGCUGUCUAGGUGAAGGAGCAGCUGGAUACAUAAAAAGGUUAAUGACUUGGGAAAUUUUGAUGAUUUGUUAUUCUUCUAAGACACUUAAGUGCUCUCCAUCUCUCCAUCUCUGUCUCAGCAGUGGCCCGCGACAUGGCAGGCAGGCACCUGCGGUUUUCACUUCACUAUUGAUGGGAAUAAGAGGUCUUCAGCUAAAGUUUCAGAUUCAGUAAGUUUACAACUUUUUGUUCCCUUAUAAAUGAUAUGCUUGUCUUAGAGGAAUAAUGAUCUAUGCCAGUCUUCAAUAUAUUGGAGUAAUACACAGGUCUUAUUUAAAGGAAAACAUUCUGGUUCCAAUAAUGCUCUAUUUUUAGUGUAUAGCACUUAACUGUAGUACAAAUGUAAGCAUAGUUACUAACAUUUUUUGCUUAUGGUUCUUAAGUAUCUAUAAACCAGAUUAAAAUUUAAAGCAGCAAAAUAAUAAAAUACCAGUGACCACUGAACAUUAUUCAUUGUGACAGAUGACAUAGGACCCUGAAGCCACUUGUGUGUAGGCUCUUGGUGUUUACUGGGUCUGUUCUGUCCUCUGCUGAAGGCACUAAAAUUUGUUUACAAAUUCUUUUCUCACAAGCUCACAAUAGUUACUGAAUACUAGUUGGCACCUUCUCAGUCCAACACAAACAUGGUCCUGAAACCGGGGGGUGGUCCUCAGUGCUGAGGCAGUUGCCCAGAUGAAUCGGAAUGUGCCUACCUAAUUAAAACAACAUACUGGGGCACCUGGGCGGCUCAGUCGGUUAAGCAUCCGACUUCAGCUCAGUUCAUGAUCUCGCGGUUUGGGAGUUGGAGCCCCGCAUCAGGCUCUGUGCUGACAGCUUUCGAUUCUGUGUCUCCCUCUCUCUCUCUGUCCCUCCCCUGCUUGCACUCUGUCUCUCUCUCCUUCAAGAAAUAAAUAAACAUUAAAAAAAAAAAAUUUACCUUUUCUUGAGAAACUUGCUGACCGCAGGUGGAGAAUCAUGAUCUAUAUACUGCAUUAUGAGCUUAGAUUCACACAAGCAUGUGUAUGAAUAUAUGGCUGUCAACGGAAAAAGAUGAACAGAAAGGAUAAUGGAGUAGGAAAGCCGUAUUUAGAACUAAUAUUUUGAUUUGUGUCGUUGCUUUCCUUUGCUUCCACGGUUCCCUGCUUUGAGGCUGUACCUCUUGUUUUCAACAUUUCACUUCAUGGUGGGUGUCCCAGGUGCUAGGAUGCGUGCUCCCUCUUCGUCGGGUCUGUGUUUCGGUCCUGUCGGUGUGGGGUGUGCCAGCCACACACUCUGGGUCCUGGCACAGGGUGGAGGCCCCUCUGCUGUGGUUGCUCUUUCAUCGCUUCUUCCAUUUUGUCUGAGCUCUUGCACUGCACCCACCGUCCCAAUGUGUGGCAUAGGUAAAUGGGUGGUUGACAGGUGAAUUGUUCCUUUCCAGAUUUCUACGCAAUACCCGGUAGUGGACCAUGAAUUUGACGCGGUGGUGGUAGGCGCUGGAGGGGCAGGCUUGCGAGCUGCGUUUGGCCUUUCCGAGGCAGGGUUUAACACGGCCUGCGUCACAAAGCUCUUUCCUACGAGAUCACACACCGUUGCAGCCCAGGUAAGAGAAAGGGGCCCCCUUAAUGGUUUUGGCGCCUGCACAGCAGUGCUCAGUCUUCUGCCACAGGCCUUCUCACUGCACGCCAGCCAUGUUCCUGUCUCUCUGCUCCUUGCACCCACCUGGCUUACUCGCCUUGGGAGUGUGUUCCCACACUGCCUCCACCCCCACUGCCGGAGUCACUCCUAGGGCCUCUUAUCGCUCUGCUGCUCCAGUGACACUCAGGUCUUCUCUGAGCACCCACCUAAUCCUCUGGCCCCCAUCAUAGUUUGUCUUCACUGUACUUUCCCAAUCUAAAAUGAGCCUGUCUCUGGACUGAUUCUCUUGGCCCUGCUGCAUCCUUGGCAUGGGCCUCGUUAAGUAUGAUGAUGAUGAGCUUUGCUGGUGGCAUGAAUGUGCAGGACAGAAGAACAUUGGCCUUUAAAUGCUCAAAAUUUAGGGAAGAGGAUAAAAGUAAGAUGAAAAAGUACACAGUGAUUUUAUAAUUUUGUUUUCUUUCCUGGCACACCGUAGGUGGUACGCAGGUUGUAUAUAGUAUUCCAAAACUGGAAUGAAUUGAACUGUUUUUUCCAGUAUUUGGAACAUAUUUCCUCAUAGAGAUAGCAGAGUGUGGGGUAACUUUCCAGGAACCAGUAAAAGCCACCCUAAUUACUGUUGUAGCCUGUAUUCAGCAUGCAGCAACAUUCUUCAGGCACUUUGCUACACAGAUACUUUGUUCUAAAACUAUGUGUUAUAAACUGAAAAAUAAAUAAUACAUACUUUUGAAGAUUACAUUGUGUCUAAAAGGAAAAAUGGAUGUAAACAUAAGUCUAAAUAAUGAGAAAUAAUAGUAUAUUCAGGUAGUGCAAUAUUAAAACAAUAAAAAGUUAGAAAUGGAUAGCUUACCUUGAAUGCUGGUUGGAGAAAGUAAGGUUUAAUUGGGGGGAUAAGACAGGUGGGGACUGGGCAAGUCUAAAGUGUACUCCUGGGGGGGGCGGGGCACAUGGCUGGCUCAGUCAGUAAAGCGUGCAACUCUUGAUCUCAGAGUCGUGAAUUAGAGCCCUGGGUUGGGUAUAAAGAUUGCUUUUUAUUUUUCUUUGAGUAGGCUCUGUGCCCAGCAUGAGGCCCAGCAUGGGGCUUGAACUCUCGACCCUGAGAUCAAGACCUGAGCUGAGAUCAAGUUGGACACUCAACCGACUGAGCCACUGAGGCGCCCUGAGAUUACUUUAGAAAAACAAAAUUGUAUUUCUUGGGACUCCUGGAAGACCAGCUGUCUGUGGCCCUGAUUCUUACUAGUAGUAGCAAUAAAAUAAUAGCAUGGACAUGUGCACUGGGCCAAGUAUUUAGUGUUAUUUUAAACUAGGUUUCUCUCUUCUGCUACUACUCUGGUACUUAACAGUUUUUACUAGGACUGUGUUUGGGUUUACAAUCGGUGGGGUCGGAGAAGGAGGAGGAAAUAACUUGUGACUUUUGCUGCUUGUCUUGUUAGGGUUCCUGGCUUUGUGCUGGUGACUCUUUUCUUGAUAACUGAAACAUAAUGGGAAACUGAGGCACAGCAGCACCAAGCGGGGAAAGAAUUCCUGCAUGGGUCUGCUUGACUCAGAAGCUUGAUUGAGGAACAUUUGCAAAAAAGAGGGAAGUCAGAAAAUGUGCCUUUUCUUCUCAAAAAGAGAUGAGUAAUCCGGUUUUAAGUUGCGGAGGAAAAGUGUGAGUGUUACAUUUGUCCCUGUACUGCCAUUUUCUGUGACUCUGAGAGACAGACACGGUAGAGAGAAUGUGACUCUGAGUUUAGAGUUUAUUCCUUGACCGUAAGUACUUCUUUAACACAUGUCCAUAAAUGCCACUGGGAACAUUUUGUCAUAAAAUUAUCCCAGAUGGAUUUGCUCAAUACCUUUUAUGUGCCAGGUUUGGAGGUGACGAGCAUUGCUCAUAAAACCGCACUUAACCCUCCAGAUGGCUCUCGAGUUCAGCUUCAUGUCCCUUCAUGGGUAAGGGCACUGAGGCUGAGGGAGGUAAGAUUUGGCGUCUGUCGUGCCUCUCCCUGCUCAGGACGGUCCUGUAACCAACCAGACUGCAGUCAGGUCCCUCACAUGCCGUUGUUGUCAAAAUUAGUUGGUUUUCUCUGAAUCCAGUUUUGGGCAGUGGGUGGAAGGGGGAUGGGCCUGGAAGGUCCAGGGUUCCCUUUCGUAGCUUGUAAGUCUGCCCUGUGUUUACAGGGAGGGAUCAAUGCUGCUCUGGGGAACAUGGAGGAGGACAACUGGAGGUGGCACUUCUACGACACUGUGAAAGGCUCCGACUGGCUGGGGGACCAGGAUGCCAUCCACUACAUGACAGAGCAGGCCCCUGCUUCCGUGGUAGAGGUACUGUCCUUGCAUGGUCUGUUUCUGGUAGAAAAGAGAGGUCGAGGCAAAUGUGGUCAGCCCAAGGAAUGGUAACCAGUUGAUGUAACAAGGGAAAUCUUUCCUAUCAUUAACCAUUCAGUUCAUUUAAUAACAAAGUUUUUCUCUUUUCCUGAAGUGUUGAAAUUUUCAUAGAACGUAUUGGUUUGGGUUUACAGGUUUAUGUUGAAAUUGUUUAGUGUAAAUUAGCGAUGAAUAUCCCGAUUCCUUCAAGGUCCUGGGUGUUUGUUUUCACAUUUCACAGCUGGAGAAUUAUGGCAUGCCAUU
rnacentral:lncRNA from 1 species